GACGAACGCUGGCGGCGUGCUUAACACAUGCAAGUCGAACGAAGAGCGAUGGAAGCUUGCUUCUAUCAAUCUUAGUGGCGAACGGGUGAGUAACGCGUAAUCAACCUGCCCUUCAGAGGGGGACAACAGUUGGAAACGACUGCUAAUACCGCAUACGAUCUAAUCUCGGCAUCGAGGAUAGAUGAAAGGUGGCCUCUACAUGUAAGCUAUCACUGAAGGAGGGGAUUGCGUCUGAUUAGCUAGUUGGAGGGGUAACGGCCCACCAAGGGGAGGACCAGUAGGCGGUCUGAGAGGAUGAACGGCCACAUUGGGACUGAGACACGGCCCAGACUCCUACGGGAGGCAGCAGUGGGGAAUCUUCCGCAAUGGACGGAAGUCUGACGGAGCAACGCCGCGUGGGUGAUGACGGCCUUCGGGUUGUAAAGCUCUGUUAAUCGGGACGAAAGGCCUUCUUGCGAAUAGGGAGACGGAUUGACGGUACCGGAAGAGAAAGCCACGGCUAACUACGUG
rnacentral:rRNA from 1 species